AGCAGCCGCGGUAAUUCCAGCUCCAAUAGCGUAUAUUAAAGUUGUUGCAGUUAAAAAGCUCGUAGUUGAAUUUCGGGAUCAAAUUGUCGGUCGUGCCUCGGUACGUACUGGCAUUAUUGAUUUCUCCUCUCUGAAGAACCAUGAUGUCAUUAAUUUGGUGUCUUGGGAAAUCAGGACUGUUACUUUGAAAAAUUGAGUGUUUAAAGCAGGCUCACGCUUGAAUACAUUAGCAUGGAAUAAUGAAAUAGGACGUUUGAUUCUAUUUUGUUGGUUUCUAGGAUCGACGUAAUGAUUAAUAGGGAUAGUUGGGGGCAUUAGUAUUCAAUUGUCAGAGGUGAAAUUCUUGGAUUUAUUGAAGACUAACUACUGCGAAAGCAUUUGCCAAGGAUG
rnacentral:rRNA from 1 species